UACGUAGGGUGCGAGCGUUAAUCGGAAUUACUGGGCGUAAAGCGUGCGCAGGCGGCUAUGUAAGUCCGGCGUGAAAUCCCCGGGCUUAACCUGGGAACUGCAUUUGUGACUGCAUAGCUAGAGUACGGUAGAGGGGGAUGGAAUUCCGCGUGUAGCAGUGAAAUGCGUAGAUAUGCGGAGGAACACCGAUGGCGAAGGCAAUCCCCUGGACCUGUACUGACGCUCAUGCACGAAAGCGUGGGGAGGAAACAGG
rnacentral:rRNA from 1 species